CCCUUAGACGUUCUGGGCCGCACGCGCGCUACACUGACGAAGGCAACGAGCUUUCCUUUACCGAAAGGUACGGGUAAUCUUUUGAAACUUCGUCGUGCUGGGGAUAGAUCCUUGCAAUUUUUGAUCUUAAACGAGGAAUGCCUAGUAAGCGCAAGUCAUCAACUUGCGUUGAUUACGUCCCUGCCCUUUGUACACACCGCCCGUCGCUAGUACCGAUUGAAUGGUUUAGUGAGGCCUUCGGAUCCGCGACUCGUUUUGUGGAGAAGUUGGACAAACUCAGUCAUUUAGAGGAAGUAAAAGUCGUAACA
rnacentral:rRNA from 1 species